GACUAUCAUGUCAGUACUAAUCAAUAAUUACAUUAGUGCUUUUAUGUACUUUGUGCAGUACUGCUAGUCCCCAUGAAUAAUAUAUA
rnacentral:ncRNA from 1 species